UUGGUAGGCAAACUGAAGUGGAUCCAUUGAUGGGCUCACCAGAGGUCGGAGAUGAGUGAGCACUAGCCUCUCCAAUGUUUUUAUCAGAUGCGAGGUCAGCGCUACUGACAUGCUGGACUUCUAGGCAACAGACAAAAGCACAGACUCUUCACAUAAAAUGAUUGGCAAACAUAUUAUGUAUAAAUCUUAGGUAUAAGGAUCAAAAAGUCACAUUUGAACAUUUGUAAGGCAUUAAACAAGGAAAAACGAUGUUGUGGAACAUCUGUCAAGCAUGGUGGAGAUGAUAUAAUUGUUCCUGUGUUCUUUGUUGCUGGUACAGGGUAGUAUUGGACAAGAAAGGUAAUUACUCCAUUUUACUACUCAAUAUCAUACACAAUUUUCAAAUCUAAACCUCACUGACCUGUUGUAGAACUACCAUGACUAUAUAAAUAAUGUGCCCAUCUUGCCAAUUCAAUUGUGGAGCGGCUUUAAAAAUGGGCAUUGAUGCAGAUUAAUAGCUAGAUUGUGAAAGGCUGCAAAGUCUACAAAUAAAGAAUUCUCGAACAAUAUUUGAGAAUCAUUAUUUCUAAAUGUGGAGGUGGGGGCAGAGUCAAAAUGUCAGCGAGCACGGGUGCAACGGUAGGUGCAGAGUGACUGGAUGGGAGGACCCAAAUGCAGGAUGCACACAAGGUUAUGGGAAAAAGCUGAAUUUAAUAAAUGAAGCAAGGGGCAAAGGCAAAAACAGAAUCCAAAAACAGUCCAGGGUCUAGGCACAGGCAAUAGGUCAAUACAGGGAAGCAAAACCAAAAACAGUCCAGGAAUCAAAAUACCAGCGAACAGAGCAAUACGGCGAGAAACCGGCUAGGAAACCGGUAAGAUAAUCUGGCCCGGAACUAAAGUCUUGAUUGUCCUUAUAUACACCGGGAGGCGCAGGAAAAAAACGGCCGCCGACACGGAAGUGUUCACCGCGGAACCGGAAGUGCGCGCCGCGAAACCGGAAGUGCGUGUCGCGAAACCGGAAGUGCGUGCAGUGUGCCCAGGAGAUCCUGACACAAAAAGCAGUUUCUCCUGUACCCAGACUGGCCUUCCCCCUCAUUGUCUCUAUGUCUCUGUCUCUGGAGGUGGGGAAUUGGUACAUGAGGGAAACAAAGCUAGAUGACCCUCAGAAAUACUUCCAACUGUUAGAGAUUAUAACUGUUUCUUUUCUGAUUAGAUUUUAUGUAUGCUCUUCUGUGUAUUGCUUGCCCAAUCAUCUUUCUGGAUUCUACUUUAUUUCUACUUUAAAGUUCAGAGCACUUGCUCAAAUAUAAGAGCCUUCACCAUCGCACCAGCAGACACAGGAACAGUUUCCCUCAGCUGUCAGCCUACUGAAGUAAAUGAAAAUCUCUACAUUCAACUCAGUAAACUUAACACUUAAAGACUGAACUGUACAUUCAAAACUCUUUCUCUACCUCAUGUUGCCUUUUUGCACUGUUAUAUUCACUGCUCAUCAUAUAUACAAAUACCUCAUUUCGAAUAAAGCCCUUUUGUGUUUUACUUCACAUUUACACCUGGUAAUAUAUAUUUUACACCGUGUACUAUACUCUUUUUUUUUAAAGAGCACUGAGCUUUUCUUAGCACCUGUACCCCAUACUUUACACUUCUAUAUGUUUAUUGUAUUAAUACUGUAUGUUUAUUGUAUAUAAAUAUGUCUAUAUGUUCAUAUAUUAGAUUUUUUUUUAUAUAAAAUUUUAUUUGCACUUCUGGUUGAGUUCUAACUGCAUUACAUUGGCUCUGUACUUGUACUCUGUACAAUAACAAAGUUGAAUUUAUUCUAACCUGAAU